GCCUGGCUAGCUCAGUCAGUAGAGCAUGUGACUCUUGUUUUUGGGAUUGUGAGUUCAAGCCCCAUGUUGGGUG
rnacentral:tRNA from 1 species